UGACCUGCUAAACAGUAGCCCAAUUCUUCAGGACUUCCAGCAGUGUGAAAUGUAAUCAGAGUGUUAGUGCAUUUGUGUACCAGAAUGAUGACCACUGUAGAAGUUGUCAAGAAGAAGCAAAAUUAUACUAGUGUGCAUGAAGCAGUGAAAGCUGGGGAUGUAGAACAGCUUGCAUUGAUGAUAAAAAGUGGAGCCAGUAUUAAUGAGGUGGAUGUAGUUCACAAAUUCACACCCUUGCAGUGUGCUGCUCACAUGGGAAGUCUGGAGUGCCUUCAGUGGUUGCUGUGGCAUGGAGCUGACACCACACGUGUGACUGUGAGAGGCUGGACAGCGGCUCACCUGGCAGCCAUCCGAGGGCAGGAUGCCUGCAUGCAGGCCCUGUUACUGAACGGAGCAGACGCAGCAGCUCGGGACGAGCGUGGGUGCACGGCCUUGCACCUGGCUGCAGCCCACGGGCACUCGUACACCCUGCAGACCCUACUGCGCACCGGGGCGGAGGUAAAUGUUUCGGAUGGGAAUGACUGGAAACCUGUUCAUUAUGCUGCUUUUCACGGUCGCUUGGGGUGUUUGCAGCUUCUUGUUCGAUGGGGAGCAUGUGUAGAUGAUGUGGAUAACAAUGGAAACCUUCCAGCACAUCUGGCAGCAGUGGAAGGACACUUGCAUUGCUUUAAGUUCUUGGUCGGGAAAAUGUCCAGUGUUAUGCAGACUCUGAAAGCCAGGAAUGACCAUGGAGAGACUCCAAGAGACUUGGCUGAACGGUUUUAUAAAGAUAAUAUUCUGCAAUAUAUUGAUGGUGUGGAAAAAGAGGAGGAACAUCCAGAGAUGCAGGAAGUUUUAGCUUUCCCAGCUCAUGAUGCUGCUUUCAAAGGGGACAUGUUAGUGGUUAGAAGACUAGUGAGAAGUGGAGUAAUCAAUAUUAAUGAGCGGGACGAUAAGGGAUCCACUCUCCUGCACAAAGCUGCUGAACAGGGACAUAUCCAUUGCUUACAGUGGUUGGUUGAAAUGGAAGCUGACUGUGACAUUACAAAUGAUGCUGGAGAGACUCCAAAGGAUGUAGCCAAGAGAUUUGGCCAUCUGGCAGCUGUGGAACUUUUGGCACCAAGAACUGCAAACAAUAACUCUAGCGAUGAAGAACUAGAUGCAAACAACAUAAAGUUUUUUGAAACACAUGGUGUGGAAGGGAGUACAGAUAGCAAAGAAGAUUUAACCCUGGAUAAAGCAGAGAAAAGGAAUGCACGCAUAAGGGCCUAUAACAAGAUUAAAGAACUUCAGCGACUUCUAGAAAUUGCCUACAGCAACUACAGACAGCUGGGGGGAAUAACUGAAGAGGAGAGGAAGAUGAAAACAGAAGAAAGGAAAGCUGAGAAGGCUGUGAGGGAGCUGGAGGCCCAGCUGGAAUAUGAGCGAGUCAGGCGGGAGAAGCUGGAGAGCCAGCUGGACGAUUAUCGUGCUGAGAUAAACCAGCUCCGAGAGGGCAGGGGGAACACCCGCACCGCCUCUGCUGCCUCCGCGAAAGCUGAGACAAUGGCCAAGUCUUGCAAAGACAAGAAGAAAAUAAAGAAGCAGCCAGCCUGCAGCCCAGGAGGAGCAAGACGCUGAGGAACGAACCUCAAAGGAGGGGCAGCAGACUGUGGAGAAAUUAGCUGCAAACAGAUGGAAGAAUGUACCCGCUCUAGAGCAGAGCCUCCUAAACCUCCCGGAUUGCUGCAGGUGCGACAGAACAAUUCCAGAAGCCAAUGGCUGUCUCAGAUGCCGUAGCCUGCACAGCAGCACAGCCGCAGUGCUGAGAUGGGACGUCCUGCACAGCAGCCUGAGGAGCUGUGUUUUCAGGGACACAUCCCAACAACUAUGCUGGAAGCCUCAGAGCAACACAGGCUACAGGGGCUUUUACUACUGUCACUGGAAACUGCACUACAGGAGAGCUGGCUGCACCAGAGCUCACAUUAGAUAGCACAGGUUUCACAUGGAACCAAAAUGACAGCAAAUUUGAAAACAAGCUGUCAAACAACAGCAGCACUUCUGAAGCCUGACAAGCUGUCCUUUGGAUUUGUUACAUUGCUGUUUCAAUUAGUGUUAGAAUAAAACUAAUCACAUUUUCUUUUGAACUUAUUCUCACUUCCAAAUAUAAUGCAUUACUCUCUUUUUAUCUGGCUCCUACACAAUAAAACCUUCACUGGUUACGUAUAUAUUGAGAAGACUAAUCUCAAAUCAGACUGAAAUUUGUUCUGCUUGGCAGGGGAAAGUACAAGCGCUGCCAUACUGAAAUUGUGUGUGGAGACUCAAUCAGAGGCUGAACUGGUCACUCUCAGACCAGUCCUGAAUGAUAGCAAACUUUCAGGCUAAUGUAAAGGACCCCAGCAAAACAUCUGUAGCAACUCCAUCACAUCAAUCAAUGGCUGCUGCAGCAAGCAGAGAUGAGCUAAAUGGGCAUCAAAUUCACCUCACAGAUGCCAGAUUCUGCAUAAACAAAGCACAUGGAUGUCUGAGGUUCCAUAAGAAAGGAUAUUUUGGAUAGUAAUCAGUUUAUAGUGGCUCAGGGACUGCAUAAACUUGUGAAAAGCUUUCCAUUGAAUGCUACUAAAACUCUCAACUGACUUAAAAUACCUCCAAGGUGACAGAAACUGGAAACUUGGAAAACACAAGGGGAUGUGCGACAUACACCUGCUGUGUUAUAACACUCUGCAGGCUCUGACUCACAGCUGCUGCCAGGAGACAGAACCCAGGGCUGGAUGGACCCUUUAUCUGACUUCAGCCAGUCUCACCCACAACAGAAGUGUGGGCAUUGAGAAUGUAUCACAGCACCAUGCUGCUGAAAAUAUUUCUUACUAGGAAAAAACCCUUCAGUUCCUCUUAGUAGGCAAGUCGAAGCAAUUUCUUGAAGAGCUUCAUUUUUGCUAUGAAAGUCUUCAACUGUUACUGUUACUUCACAUUACUUCAUAGGACAUUACCUGUGUUAUGUUCCUUCAUCUGGAAGAUACACAUAAACCUGCCUACAGCUACAAAUAAGGUAAACCUAAUGUCUCCUUCACCAGCCUCCUCAAGACGCUGCCAAAACAUUUUGCACCACCAAGAACUGGUACUCUGGAGAAACUGACAGCACUCAAAGUUACACUACUUAAUAUUAGAAGUUUUCCUUCGAAUAAUUUAUCUCAUAUC